rnacentral:lncRNA from 13 species
UCCUUCAGCACCAAGGAGAGUGGUCCAGCAGCAGCUCAGUCCAUGCUUGUCAAGAGCCCACCUCCAUACAUUGCAGCUUUGGUCCACAUUUCCCAAGCCUCCUUGUGGGAUUCCUCAGCAUCACCAGUGCACUGACUGUCUCUUUGUGUUCUCCUAGCUCCUGUUCAAGACCCAAAGGGAUGCACAAGUCAAAAGCUUCAGGAGGAGAUGUCACCUGACUUAGUAAGAUGCAUUUCUUUGUCUUGAAGAGACAUAUCUUUUCCUGGGGCUUCUAGACUCAGCUGUCAUGAACUCUAGCUACCAGUCACUGGAAUGUGUGACCGACUGAGGCCCGAUUGAUACGUUAGUCAAAAGAUGGCAUCACUUACAAACUAGUAGUGAGCAUAUUUCUCAGUAGCAACUUGCUAAAUAUUCCAUGAAAACCUACUGCCGUGGUGGCUCACACAUAGAAUCCAGCACUUUGGGACGCUGAGGCAGACAGGGCCAAUAUAAUGAAACCCCAUCUCUACUAUAAAAACAAACAUUAGCCGGGCAUGGUGGCUGGCACCUGUGGUCACAGCUAGUUGGAAGGCUGAGGCAGGAGAAUUGCUUGAACCCAGGAAGCUGAGGUUGCAGUGAGCUGAGAUCAUGCCACUGCACUCCAGCCUGGGUGACAGAGCAAGAAUCUGGCCAAAACCAAAGACAAAAGCCCACUGCCCUUUCUCCAAGCAUCCUCUGUGCUUUAUUUGUGGAUCAGUGACUUGAUCCCUGUUUGAUACCUGGUUUUCUAACACCACCAAGUGAAUAAAAGACCUGUGCAGUCAGGACCCAGUAUGAUCUGAUCCUCAUGAUGGUUUUUCUUUCCUCUUACUGCAGGAAAAUGCUACAAGUGAAUAUCACCACACUCCUGUUGACAACCCAGAGGAGUGUACACUUGGCAGUGAGGAGGAGGAGGUGGCCUCUGAUACGGUAACAUAUUUGUUUGUCUGGAAAUUUUUUUUUUCUGGGGCUUCUAGACUAUGAAGUGAAUAUGAUUUUUGACUGCCAUCACAAAUUAGGCCUCGGGGGU